rnacentral:rRNA from 1 species
UCUGCAGAAGGGGAGACUGAAAUCUCCUGGUGUAGCGGGGGAAAUGCGCAGAUAUCAGGAGCAACCCCGAGGGCGAAGGCAGGUCUUUGGGCUGCAACUGACGUUGAGGAGCGAAAGCAUGGGGAGCGAACAGGAUUAGAUACCGUGGUAGUCCACGCCGUAAACGUUGGGCACUAGGUGUGGGGACCAUUUUCACGGUUUCCGCGCCGCAGCUAACGCAUUAAGUGCCCCGCCUGGGGAGUACGGCCGCAAGGCUAAAACUCAAAGGAAUUGACGGGGGCCCGCACAAGCGGCGGAGCAUGCGGAUUAAUUCGAUGCAACGCGAAGAACCUUACCAAGGCUUGACAUGUUCUCGAUCGCCGUAGAGAUACGGUUUCCCCUUUGGGGCGGGUUCACAGGUGGUGCAUGGUUGUCGUCAGCUCGUGUCGUGAGAUGUUGGGUUAAGUCCCGCAACGAGCGCAACCCUCGUUCCAUGUUGCCAGCACGUAAUGGUGGGGACUCAUGGGAGACUGCCGGGGUCAACUCGGAGGAAGGUGAGGACGACGUCAAAUCAUCAUGCCCCUUAUGUCUUGGGCUUCACGCAUGCUACAAUGGCCGGUACAAUGGGUUGCGAUACUGUGAGGUGGAGCUAAUCCCAAAAAGCCGGUCUCAGUUCGGAUUGGGGUCUGCAACUCGACCCCAUGAAGUCGGAGUCGCUAGUAAUCGCAGAUCAGCAACGCUGCGGUGAAUACGUUCCCGGGCCUUGUACACACCGCCCGUCAAGUCACGAAAGUCGGUAACACCCGAAGCCGGGGCAGUAUUGAUCUGUAGCGAGCCAGCAGAGACUUAUUGUUUCAA